UUUCCGUAGGUGAACCUGCGGAAGGAUCAUUCAUAAUAAAGUGUUUUAAGGCACUUUUUAAAAAUCCAUAUCCACCUUGUGUGCAAUGUUAGAUCUCGUCAAUCUUGGCGAGAUUUUUAUACAUCAACUCAUUCUUUAACUAAUUUGUCUGAAAAAUAUUAUGAAUACUUAAUUCAAAAUACAACUUUCAACAACGGAUCUCUUGGCUCUC
rnacentral:misc_RNA from 1 species